rnacentral:rRNA from 1 species
CCAUAUUGGGUGAUAGCCCCGUACACGAAAAUCUCUUAUCAAUGAAAUCGAGUAGGACGGAGCACGAGAAACUUUGUCUGAAUAUGGGGGGACCAUCCUCCAAGGCUAAAUACUACUGACUGACCGAUAGUGAACUAGUACCGUGAGGGAAAGGCGAAAAGAACCCCGGGAGGGGAGUGAAAUAGAUCCUGAAACCGUAUGCGUACAAGCAGUGGGAGCAGACUUUGUUCUGUGACUGCGUACCUUUUGUAUAAUGGGUCAGCGACUUAUUUUCAGUGGCGAGCUUAACCGAAUAGGGGAGGCGUAGCGAAAGCGAGUCUUAAUAGGGCGUCUAGUCGCUGGGAAUAGACCCGAAACCGGGCGAUCUAUCCAUGGGCAGGUUGAAGGUUAGGUAACACUGACUGGAGGACCGAACCGACUACCGUUGAAAAGUUAGCGGAUGACCUGUGGAUCGGAGUGAAAGGCUAAUCAAGCUCGGAGAUAGCUGGUUCUCCUCGAAAGCUAUUUAGGUAGCGCCUCAUGUAUCACUGUAGGGGGUAGAGCACUGUUUCGGCUAGGGGGUCAUCCCGACUUACCAAACCGAUGCAAACUCCGAAUACCUAUGAGUACUAUCCGGGAGACAGACUGCGGGUGCUAACGUCCGUAGUCAAGAGGAAAACAAUCCAGAUCGCCAGCUAAGGCCCCAAAAUUAUAGUUAAGUGGGAAACGAUGUGGGAAGGCUUAGACAGCUAGGAGGUUGGCUUAGAAGCAGCCA